UAUCUCCCAAAACCACCAUGAUCCAAACUUCAUAGUCGCUGAUCGUUUGUGCCUGUGUUGGGGACAAUACGCAGAGAAACUUUCAGCUUUUAUAAAAUUACGAAGGUCUGGUACGCGCUGGCUCUUGGUCCAUUACAUGACUGUUUUUAAAAUUCCCGUACAUUACAU